rnacentral:rRNA from 1 species
CGAACGCUGGCGGCAGGCUUAACGCAUGCAAGUCGAACGGACCCUUCGGGGUUAGUGGCAGACGGGUGAGUAACGCGUGGGAACCUACCUAUAAGUACGGAACAACACAGAGAAAUUUGUGCUAAUACCGUAUGUGCUCUUUUGAGUAAAGAUUUAUCGCUUAUAGAUGGGCCCGCGUUAGAUUAGCUAGUUGGUGAGGUAACGGCUCACCAAGGCGACGAUCUAUAGCUGGUCUGAGAGGAUGAUCAGCCACACUGGGACUGAGACACGGCCCAGACUCCUACGGGAGGCAGCAGUGAGGAAUAUUGGACAAUGGGGGCAACCCUGAUCCAGCCAUGCCGCGUGAGUGAUGACGGCCUUAGGGUUGUAAAGCUCUUUCAGUAGUGAAGAUAAUGACGGUAACUACAGAAGAAGCCCCGGCUAACUUCGUGCCAGCAGCCGCGGUAAUACGAAGGGGGCUAGCGUUGUUCGGAAUCACUGGGCGUAAAGCGCGCGUAGGCGGACUUUUAAGUCAGGGGUGAAAUCCCGAGGCUCAACCUCGGAACUGCCUUUGAUACUGGAAGUCUUGAGUUCGAGAGAGGUGAGUGGAAUACCGAUUGUA